rnacentral:rRNA from 1 species
GAUUAACGCUAGCGGCAGGCCUAAUACAUGCAAGUCGAGGGGUAACAGGGUAGCAAUACCGCUGACGACCGGCGCACGGGUGCGUAACACGUAUGCAAUCUACCUAUAACCGGGGAAUAACUCUUCGAAAGAAGAGCUAAUACCGCAUAACACUUCGAGGUGGCAUCACCAUGAAGUUAAACCUCCGGGGGUUAUAGAUGAGCAUGCGUUCGAUUAGAUAGUUGGCGAGGUAACGGCUCACCAAGUCUGCGAUCGAUAGGGGUUCUGAGAGGAAGAUCCCCCACACUGGUACUGAGACA